AGCCUGGUCUCCAACUCCUGGCUUCAAGCAAUUCCUCCUGCCUCGGCCUCUCCAAGUGCUGGGAUUACAGGAAUUAGCCACCAUGCUCAUUCUCCAUUGACUAAUCUGUUAAUAGUCCUAUCUUUGGGUAAGGUCAACCAUGGAGAAAAUGCUGGAAGAGAUUGAAAUUUUGGAGGUAUCAAUUCCUUGAGAUGGGAGGAGAACGGAAGGAAAACAAACAACUACCUUUUCCUUUCCUGUUGUUGCUGAUGUGCACUUUCCCUGUCUUCCACGUCAUGACUCAGGAAAUGAGGGGGUGCAUCUCAGAGGGCACCCUGCCUGUGUUCUCUGUCAUUGCCUGUGAGCCACCGACUGAUACCAUCAUUUUAAUCACUCAAGAAGCCUUCCUUUCAGGAAUGUAUAUUGCUUCUUGGCCCCUGCCUUCUCCCUGGAAAUCCUGGGCAAAGAGCCAGGGAAAAAACGUGAGUGCUCAGGCCGAAAUCAGUGGGCUGGAAUUGUUUCUUCACUUUGGGUGACUCCACUGUUACUCAAGGAAUGAACUGAUUGGCACCAAGCAAGAAGAACAGCACAUCUCUUUGGACUCAUUCCCUUAUUUAUAAGCCAUAACCUUAGGGACAAUAAGCUAGAGACCCUGCCAGCAUCCUUGAGCCAGGAUCUCAUCUGUUGUCACAGUAGCCAUGUUUCCCUGGCAUCCGAGAGCCCAAGGAUGCAAAUAAGGCCUGGGCCAAACUAAGCUCUGACAAUUAAUGUUAUUCCAAAGAGGCAGCAGCGAGGGUAGGAAGUUCUGGUCCCCUCAUCUUACUUCAAGUUUCACAGCCAAGAGUGAUGAUAGCUUUAGUCAGUAAGUACAGUCAAGGAGCCUAUGAGACAGAACUUGUCACAAAGACAGCUGAUGUUUCGCAUGGACCUUAACAGAGUAACUGGUGUCUCUUCAGGAAUGGGGCACAAUCCAGAGGUUACUAACCACGGAACAUUUACUGGAUUUGGUACUUGGCGAAAGAAACUGACAAAUUAAGAAAUGAGAGAGAGAAUAAAUGCACUGUGCAUGCUGAAACCCCAAGAAGACUUUUUUUCUCCUACUUUUUAUGGACCUGAGGUGUUGGAAAUGGAAACAUUGUUUCAAACAAAAUCCAGAUUUUUAUCUCUCUCCCCAAGAGAUAUGGCUUUAAUCUUUUUUCUUUUCUUCUGCUGCUUUUCUGAAACACUCUGCUAGGGGCUGAUUUCCUCUUCUUUGAAACAGACCAAAAUAUCCCUGUGGGUGAAAAACAUGCCGGAAGUGAAACAGAAAGACUCAGCUUGCCCCGUGUUCGUGGUCUGUCAACUUCUCUAGCCAGUGCCUGGAUCCACAGCUCACUGCUGCCGGUUGCCCUGCGUUAGCCGCAUUGCGGGGGAGACAGGAGAGGCUUGAAGGCUUUUUAUAUUCUACUCUCUUCUGAAGAAUUCACAAGUUAGCAAGCACUCAACCACUACUAACCAGAAGGUAUUGCCAACCAUAACAAACUACACCCAUCAACAAGGCCUCCCUCAUAUUGCAAUCCCAGCAGAAAAUGAUGCAGGAAAAGCACUCCCCAAAUCUUGGUUGCCUGCCACCCAAGUUCUUAUGCCAAGAUAUGUGUUUAGCCAGUUCUAAGAUGCUGCCACCUUUUCAUGUGUCCAACACUAGGCUUUCUACCAUAGUUCCCUCCACCCAGAAUGUGUUACUUGGCUCCUACAAAUGCAAGAGGAAGUGCCCUUCCCUGAACAGAAAUCAAAACACAGGGUGAAACCACGACUUGUUUUCAACAGGCCUCCUGUUGUGAGCCCUCCCAGCUGUGCUGCCUUUCUCCAAGAGAGCUGGGACUGGCGGCUCGAAGCGGUAUAAAUGGCCUGUGCCUCUUCCUGAGGCUGCCUGUAACAAGUGUCUCAAGAGCAAUUCGUCAUCGGCUGGAGAUUACCAACUUGGCUCACUGAACCAGAUCGUGCUUUGUCACAUGUGAAAUUCUGAUGUUCUAAUACAUGGCUUGUUUGCAAACUACGCCUUAAAUAAAUAUAUUCAGGAUAUUUAACAAUAUAGUGUUCUGAAUUAGACCAUCAUUUACAUCUGUAUUUAUUCAAUAAUCAUUUACUAAGUGCCAAAUACAUGCCGAGUACUAUGCCGAGUGCAACAGUUAAAACGCAGGAAAAAGAUCGUAUUGCCCUUACUGGGCUAUAAAUUCAAAUCUCUGUCUCAUCUCAUCAAGCAAUCUUUCCGCCUUGGCCUCCCAAAGUGCUGGAAUUAUAGGCAUGAACCACCACACCUGACCCAGGAGAGUUUUCUUUAACGAGUGAUGCUUGAUCUCAGUUUUGAAAAGUAUAGAGGUGUUCACCUAGAGGAGAGGAAAGAACAGAGCAUUCUGGAAAGAGGACUGUGGAGCAAAGGCAAAGAGAUAUUACAUAGCCUGGCAUGGUUUGGGAACUAUAAGCAGUUGAAGUUGGUAGUGAAUGGGGCAUGAGAGGAAGGGGAGGUAGGCAGAGGCAUGAUCGUAGAGAACCCUGUAUUCCAAUCCAAGAAUCAAAGUCAUCAUCCUGAAGGCUGUGGGGGCAAUAUUGAGGAGAUUCCCAGAAAAUGAGUGAUAUUUACUUGUCUUCAUGACAGCAAAUUGAACAGCAGGGGUUGAAAACAGGGGAAGGCUAAGUAGCAGAUCAUUGCAAUAGACCAGAAAAAUGAAGGCUUGAAACUUCAACGGGCAACAGGGAUGAAGAGUUGAGAACAGAUUUGAGAGAAGUGAAAGGAGUAGGAUCUGCAGAACUUGGAGACUGACCGGAUUCUGGAAGAUUAAGGAGAUGGAGAUGUCAAGGGUGAAUGGUUCCCAGUUUAUUAUUUAGGAACCCGAAGGAAUGCUGGUGUGUGCGGAAUUGGUGGGUUCUUGGUCUCACUGACUUCAAAAAUGAAACCACGGACCCU
rnacentral:lncRNA from 1 species